rnacentral:rRNA from 1 species
UACGAAGGGGGGCUAGCGUUGCUCGGAAUCACUGGGCGUAAAGGGCGCGUAGGCGGCCAUUCAAGUCAGGGGUGAAAGCCCAAGGCUCAACCUUGGAAUUGCCUUUGAUACUGUUUGGCUUGAGACCGGAAGAGGUCGGCGGAACUGCGAGUGUAGAGGUGAAAUUCGUAGAUAUUCGCAAGAACACCAGUGGCGAAGGCGGCCGACUGGUCCGGUUCUGACGCUGAGGCGCGAAAGCGUGGGGAGCAAACAGG